rnacentral:misc_RNA from 1 species
CCAAUAGCGUAUAUUAAAGUUGUUGCAGUUAAAAAGCUCGUAGUUGAAUUUCGGGAUCAGUACGCUGGUCGUGCCUUCGGUAUGUACUGGUGUUACUGGUUCCUACCUUCUGACGAACCGUCAUGUCAUUAAUUUGGUGUGGCGGGAAAUCAGGACUGUUACUUUGAAAAAAUUAGAGGGUUUAAAGCAGGCUCGCGCUUGAAUACAUUAGCUUGAAAUAAUGAAAUAGGACGUUCGAUUCUAUUUUGUUGGUUUCUAGGAUUGACGUAAUGAUUAAUAGGGAUAGUUGGGAGCAGUAGUAUUCAAUUGUCAGAGGUGAAAUUCUUGGAUUUAUUGAAGACUAACUACUGCGAAAGCAUUUGCCAAGGAUGUUUUCAUUAAUCAAGAACGAAAGUUAGGGGAUCGAAGACGAUCAGAUACCGUCGUAGUCUUAACCAUAAACUAUGCCGACUAGGGAUCGGAUGAUGUUAUUUUUAAUGACUCAUUCGGCGCCUUACG